AGAGUGAACGCUGGCGGCAGGCCUAACACAUGCAAGUCGAACGGCAGCACAGCCCUAGCAAUAGGGUGGGUGGCGAGUGGCGGACGGGUGAGGAAUACAUCGGAAUCUACCUUGUCGUGGGGGAUAACGUAGGGAAACUUACGCUAAUACCGCAUACGAACUAUGGUUGAAAGCGGCGGACCGCAAGGCGUCGCGCGAUUGGAUGAGCCGAUGUCCGAUUAGCUAGUUGGCGGGUAAAGGCCCACCAAGGCGACGAUCGGUAGCUGGUCUGAGAGGAUGAUCAGCCACACUGGAACUGAGACACGGUCCAGACUCCUACGGGAGGCAGCAGUGGGGAAUAUUGGACAAUGGGCGCAAGCCUGAUCCAGCCAUGCCGCGUGUGUGAAGAAGGCCUUCGGUUGUAAAGCACGUUUUGUUAGGGUAAGAAAAGCAACUGGUUAAUACCCGUAGGUGUUCGUGACGGUAACCCUAAAGAAUAAAGACACCGGACUAACUUCGUAGCCAGCAGCCGUA
rnacentral:rRNA from 1 species